rnacentral:rRNA from 1 species
GACGAACGCUGGCGGCGUGCUUAACACAUGCCAGUCGAACGGAAAGGCCCCGCUUUUGUGGGGUGCUCGAGUGGCGAACGGGUGAGUAACACGUGAGUAACCUGCCCUUGACUUUGGGAUAACUUCAGGAAACUGGGGCUAAUACCGGAUAGGAGCUCCUGCUGCAUGGUGGGGGGUGGAAAGUUUCGGCGGUUGGGGAUGGACUCGCGGCUUAUCAGCUUGUUGGUGGGGUAGUGGCUUACCAAGGCUUUGACGGGUAGCCGGCCUGAGAGGGUGACCGGCCACAUUGGGACUGAGAUACGGCCCAGACUCCUACGGGAGGCAGCAGUGGGGAAUAUUGCACAAUGGGCGGAAGCCUGAUGCAGCAACGCCGCGUGCGGGAUGACGGCCUUCGGGUUGUAAACCGCUUUCGCCUGUGACGAAGUGUGAGUGACGGUAAUGGGUAAAGAAGCACCGGCUAACUACGUG